rnacentral:rRNA from 1 species
UACGAAGGGGGCUAGCGUUGCUCGGAAUGACUGGGCGUAAAGGGCGCGUAGGCGGCGGUCACAGUCAGAUGUGAAAUUCCUGGGCUUAACCUGGGGGCUGCAUUUGAUACGUGGUUGCUUGAGUGGGGAAGAGGGUCGUGGAAUUCCCAGUGUAGAGGUGAAAUUCGUAGAUAUCGGGAGGAACACCUGCGGCGAAGGCGGGUUGCUGGGCUGACACUGACGCUGAUGCGCGAAAGCCAGGGGAGCGAACGGG